AAAAAACAUUCAGGACAUACACAAAUAAACAAUACAAUAGUACAUUUCGACAUGCUAACCACAGAAUAAAAACGAACACGUAUAUAUAGAUAUAUAUAUAUAUAUAUAUAUAUACAUAUAUAGAUGUAUGUAAAAGUUCAAUAUCUUUUAAAGGAACCAUUCAUAAGACUUUUGAUAGUUUUGAUACUGAUGCAGUUUAUUGGAGUUGGCGCAGAAUACCCUAAUCGUCAUAUAUGUAUGUCUCAUGAAUUGUUCUAUGAGAUCAUUCUUAGUAAUACAACACUGAAGCCACAAUUUGUAAUUUUGAAAGUACCAAUUUGUGUUGAGACGAUAUUUUCAGCAAAUGGCAGGUAAAAAAACAAGUCAAGUUGGAUCUGAACGUAUUCAACAUAAUUUCAUGUCUAUUUUUCUCUCAAAAGACUGAAACUCUGAAAUUUGUGGAUAAGGGUACCAAUUUAAACGAACAGAUAGGUUGCCAUACUCGAAAUUUUUUGAAGUAGCAUAGUCUUUUUGUAUACUAAUAUAGAUCGGCCAUCAAAACUGUAAAAUGUUUCGGAGUUUACUUUGAUCGUAAUAAAUAUAUUUAAUGUGAUACUAUUCUCAAACUUUGAAAAGAAGGGAGGACAAUCGAAAACAAUUACUAAAAAUUAGUCUAAAAGAAAUAUCUUAGGAAGAAACGAAUCAAAUAGGUUUUUGGUGCACACAAACUUCCCUUAUCGAAAUUUUGCAAUACAUCCUGCAAUCCGUUUUGUUUUCUUUACAGAUACCGGAGUAUAAAACACACGAAACGAUAUACUUGUAAUAGUGUAUGUUUAUGGUAUCCUGCAUUUGUUUAGAGCGAACGUUAAUUUAAAAACUGUUGAAAUCACAGUUCAUGUUGGGUCCGCGUUGUGAUCCACUUCUAAACAAUGCCGUUUAAAUUAAAAAUUAAAGUGACGAUUUGGAUGUAGAAUAUUAUGCAUGAAAGAGUUAGUUUUAUAUUGUUGGAUAAAAACUAUACUAAUACAUUGUAGGAAAAUUUGAAAUGUAUUUGCAUUCGCUCAAAAACAAGAGAAAAGUUCGGUGAGCUUUGAAUAUAUUGUUUGUAUAAUUGCCUGUAUUUUUCUUCUAUGUACGAAUGUUGUUUAUAACAAUUAACGUUACAAUUAUAGAUUUUAUAGCACAGAUCAACUGAUUGCCAUGGGAAUAGUAGAAGUUGUAUGGAUAAUUUGUUUUAUAGUCAGCAUAAUACUAGGUACACUUAUAUGUAAAGGUCUUAUAUUAUCGUCAACACCUUAUAUAGUGUUAAUAGUUUUAAGGAACAACCAGACAUUCUUUUUUAUAAUGUUAAAGGAUGACGAAAGACGGGCAAUCAAAUAUUUCCUCUUUUUUGAAAUUACAUUGCAAUUCGUUAAUUGUUUAUACUUUAAUUGUAAUAGAUCAGAACACAAUUGUUUAUUGAAAGACAACACUAAAUAGUAUAUUGAUAUUUAAAUCUUAUGAAUCCAUUCAUAACAUUAAAUUAAACGUCACAACAGAACCUGAACCGUUUGAACUUCUUAAAGUAAAUACACAUAUCUUAUCAAUCUUACAUUCUUAACAUCAGCAUUUUUAAGACCACGAAAUUAUACUAAUGUUUUUAAAACAUACAUACACAGAACUAUGCAAACAAAGUAAUUUUAUUCCUCGGUAUACUUAUAAUAAUUUCUAAGGGUUUUUAUCUCGUUGAACGUACAAUGUAGAACCCUAUAGACACAAGAAAUAUAUAGUUUUGGGUUGUAUUCUGCUCUGUGGUCGGAUAUUUCUCUUGUUGACACAUUACUCGUUUCCAUACUCAAUUUUAAAAACUGAUUAAAAGCUAUAUAAAAUUUUAAGUUAAAAAUUUAACAAUUGACCCGUAAACAAUCGAUGACAAAAAUGUACAAAUUCUAUAAGUAGCAUUGAAUGGAAUAACUCUCUGGACUAGAUGGAGUUAUUGUAGAUGCUGACAUAUUUUGAUCAUACUGUAAUAUAAAACUGUUAAAUACAUGAUACAAAAAAAAAGGAACAGAUUACAUUUGUCUUUUUGUACACACUAAUUGCAUCCAAGUUACCUUCUUGAAUGAAGAUACUAAAUUUUAUAACAAUCUUACUGCUACUUUAAAAAUGAGUCAUAUAUGUUGCUCUUGGAAUAUGCUACUAUAAAAUAAUGGUUUUAUACAUCAGAGGUCGCACCUCACGGAAGUAUAAUUUACAUAUCACAAUAUUAUUGUCAUGUCAACCUUAAACAAUAUAUUUGAUUGUAGCUUUUUUACAUAGUUUAAUUCCUUUCUUUUCCCAAUAACAUAUCUUGUCUCAUUUCAGUUCCAAAAUUCUCCAGUGAAAAUCACUAUUACACAAAUAUAACCAAGUCAAAUGUUUCAAUUGGUACCGAUAACACCCAACAGAAUAACCAAACAAAGGACGAGGUAUAUUUGUUUAUCAAAGUUUUGAUUUGGUAUGCACAAAUGAGUUUUUUCGUGUUUC
rnacentral:lncRNA from 1 species